rnacentral:rRNA from 1 species
GACGAACGCUGGCGGCGUGCUUAACACAUGCAAGUCGAACGGAAAGGCCCUGCUUUUGUGGGGUGCUCGAGUGGCGAACGGGUGAGUAACACGUGAGUAACCUGCCCUUGACUUUGGGAUAACUUCAGGAAACUGGGGCUAAUACCGGAUAGGAGCUCCUGCUGCAUGGUGGGGGUUGGAAAGUUUCGGCGGUUGGGGAUGGACUCGCGGCUUAUCAGCUUGUUGGUGGGGUAGUGGCUUACCAAGGCUUUGACGGGUAGCCGGCCUGAGAAGGUGACCGGCCACAUUGGGACUGAGAUACGGCCCAGACUCCUACGGGAGGUAGCAGUGGGGAAUAUUGCACAAUGGGCGGAAGCCUGAUGCAGCAACGCCGCGUGCGGGAUGACGGCCUUCGGGUUGUAAACCGCUUUCGCCUGUGACGAAGCGUGAGUGACGGUAAUGGGUAAAGAAGCACCGGCUAACUACGUG